AGAUUGAACGCUGGCGGCAUGCUUUACACAUGCAAGUCGAGCGGCAGCGCGGGGGGGUAACUCCUGGCGGCGAGCGGCGGACGGGUGAGUAAUACAUCGGAACGUAUCCCGUAGUGGGGGACAACCCAGCGAAAGCUGGGCUAAUACCGCAUAUGCUCUACGGAGGAAAGUGGGGGGCUCCGCAAGGACCUCAUGCUAAUGGGAGCGGCCGAUGUCCGAUUUAGCUAGUUGGGUGGGGUAAAGGCUUACCAAGGCGACGAUCGGUAGCUGGUCUGAGAGGAUGACUCAGCCUACACUGGGAACUGAGACACGGCCCAGUACCGUCCGUACGGGAGGACCAGGC
rnacentral:rRNA from 1 species